rnacentral:tRNA from 1 species
GGUGGCAUAGCUCAACGGUAGAGCGUCCGCCUUUUAAGCGGGGGAGUGCAGGUUCGAUGCCUGCUGCCACCA